CCUACGGGUGGCAGCAGUAGGGAAUAUUGCUCAAUGGGGGCAACCCUGAAGCAGCAACGCCGCGUGGAGGAUGAAGGUUUUCGGAUUGUAAACUCCUUUUGUGAGAGAAGAUAAUGACGGUAUCUAACGAAUAAGCACCGGCUAACUCCGUGCCAGCAGCCGCGGUAAUACGGAGGGUGCAAGCGUUACUCGGAAUCACUGGGCGUAAAGAGCGCGUAGGCGGGGUAGCAAGUCAGAUGUGAAAGCCUAUGGCUUAACCGUAGAACUGCAUUUGAAACUGGUAGUCUAGAGUAUGGGAGAGGGAGGUGGAAUUCAUGGUGUAGGGGUGAAAUGCGUAGAGAUCAAGAGGAAUACUGAUUGCGAAGGCGACCUGCUAGAACAUAACUGACGCUGAUGCGCGAAAGCGUGGGGAGCAAACAGGAUUAGAUACCCGGGUAGUC
rnacentral:rRNA from 1 species